AUUGAACGCUGGCGGCAGGCCUAACACAUGCAAGUCGAACGGUAACAGGAAGCAGCUUGCUGCUUCGCUGACGAGUGGCGGACGGGUGAGUAAUGUCUGGGAAGCUGCCUGAUGGAGGGGGAUAACUACUGGAAACGGUAGCUAAUACCGCAUAAUGUCGCAAGACCAAAGAGGGGGACCUUCGGGCCUCUUGCCAUCGGAUGUGCCCAGAUGGGAUUAGCUUGUUGGUGGGGUAACGGCUCACCAAGGCGACGAUCCCUAGCUGGUCUGAGAGGAUGACCAGCCACACUGGAACUGAGACACGGCCCAGACUCCUACGGGAGGCAGCAGUGGGGAAUAUUGCACAAUGGGCGCAAGCCUGAUGCAGCCAUGCCGCGUGUAUGAAGAAGGCCUUCGGGUUGUAAAGUACUUUCAGCGGGGAGGAAGGGAGUAAAGUUAAUACCUUUGCUCAUUGACGUUACCCGCAGAAGAAGCACCGGCUAACUCCGUG
rnacentral:rRNA from 1 species